rnacentral:rRNA from 1 species
UACGGGGGGGGCAAGCGUUGUUCGGAAUUACUGGGCGUAAAGGGCUCGUAGGCGGCCAACUAAGUCAGACGUGAAAUCCCUCGGCUUAACCGGGGAACUGCGUCUGAUACUGGAUGGCUUGAGUUUGGGAGAGGGAUGCGGAAUUCCAGGUGUAGCGGUGAAAUGCGCAGAUAUCAGGAGGAACACCAAUAGCGAAGGCAGCUCGCUGGGACGGUACUGACGCUGAGGCGCGAAAGCGUGGGGAGCAAACAGG